GCGCGAAACCUUUACAAUGCAGGAAACUGUGAUAAGGGAACCCAAAGUGCUUAUCUUUGAUAGGCUUUUGCCGUAUGUAAAUAGUACGGAGAAUAAGCGAUGGGAAAGACUGGUGCCAGCCGCCGCGGUAACACCAGCGUCGCAAGUGGCGAUCCUUUUUAUUUGGCCUAAAGCGUCCGUAGCUGGUUUUGUAAAUCUUUUGUGAAAUUGUUCAGCUUAACUGAACAACGCGUAGGAGAGACUGCAUGACUAGGGACCGGGAGGAGUCAGAGAUAUAUCAGGGGGAGCGGUAAAAUGCUAUAAUCCUUGAUAGAUCACCUGUGGCGAAGGCGUCUGACUAGAACGGGUCCGACAGUGAGGGACGAAAGCUAGGGGAGCAAACCGGAUUAGAUACCCGAGUAGUCCUAGCCGUAAACGCUGUGAGUUAGGUGUUGCGCAAUCUCCGUGAUUGCGCAGUGUCGAAGCGAAGGUGUUAAACUCACCGCCUGGGAAGUAUGGUCGCAAGACUGAAACUUAAAGGAAUUGG
rnacentral:rRNA from 1 species